AACACUGGCCAUAGCGGGUGAUAGCCCCGUACACGAAAUGCGAUGUGUGGAACUAAGUAUGCGACAAGUAGGGCGGGACACGAGAAAUCCUGUCUGAAUAUGGGGGGACCAUCCUCCAAGGCUAAAUACUCCUGACUGACCGAUAGUGAACCAGUACCGUGAGGGAAAGGUGAAAAGUACCCCGGAAGGGGAGUGAAAGAGAACUUGAAACCGUGUGCUUACAAGUAGUCAGAGCCCGUUAAUGGGUGAUGGCGUGCCUUUUGUAGAAUGAACCGGCGAGUUACGAUCUGAUGCAAGGUUAAGCAGCGUAUGU
rnacentral:rRNA from 1 species